CAAUCUCCAUUUAUAUUUGGAAGAACAUAAUAGUAUCAAUCAUGGUUGCUUACUUGCUUAUACAAUGCCUUGUUUAUUAGACAGACCAUAAAUGCCACCCUACUGUCCUAAAGCACUUGCUCCCAUCCCAAGUGAUGAAGACGCUCUUGCAUUCCAGCUUAAUUCGGUGGAUGAAUGAAUACAACUUCUGUAACAGUCGUGUGAAACUAAAGAUAGAUUCUUUAACAAUAUAAGAAAAGUUGGGACAGUAUGAAUUUCAAGUUGAUCGAGCUGUUAAUUAACUAAGCUUUCAUAGCAUUACUUCAAUUUGAAGCUUUCAUUUCAUACCAUUCUUUAAGUUUAAGCUUUAAGCUUUCAUUUCAUAGCAUAUAUACUUUACCCAAUAACAACCCGUCUCUCUCAAUAGCGUUCAUCUACCAUUCAGAAAUAGAUAAUGUAAUGUUUUGUCUUUUAUGAAACUGUGAAUAUGUGAAUUGAUCUCAUCCACUAUAAAUACCCUUCAAUCCCUCAUUUUCUUUUUAUCUCAGAAAGUAGAGACUUGAAAGUUGGCCUCCUUGGAUGUUGAAUGACUUCUCUCAUUUUUGGCAGAACGAUAUGAGAGAAAUCAUUCACAUCCAAGGAGGUCAACUUGGGAACCAAAUCGGUGCCAAGUUCUGAAAAAGGGUUUCCACCGAGCAUACUCUCCACUUCAAGCUGAGAGUGUGGACGUGUACUGGAUGAAGCAAACUGUGGAAGACUUGUGCCUCUGCCAAUUUUGAUGGAAUUGAAGCCCGGGACUAUGGAUAGCGUCAAGUCUGGUCCAUAUGGCACGAUCUUCGGCCAGACAGACAACUUGAUCUUUGGAAUAUUGUGAAUGCCUACAAGUACACAAGUGGUAUAUACUGAGGAAGGGAUGGAUGAGAUGGAGUUUUACUGAGGCAGAGAGCAACAUGAAUGAUCUGGUUGCAGAGUAUCAGCAGUAUGAAGAUGCAACUUCUGUCUAUUGCUAGAAAACACGGGCACGGACACGGGUAUUACAUAGCAACAUCAGCAGUUUUUGAAAACUGGCCUAAGAUCAAGUUGUCUGUCUGGCCUGAAGAUAGUGCCAUAUGGACCAGACUUGACACUAUCCAUGGUCCCUGGCUAAGUCCAUCAAAAUUGGCACGAGACACAAGUCUUCCACAAUUUGCUACACCUAGCACACGUCCACACCGCUUGAAGUGGAGAGUAUGCUCGGUGGAAACCAGUUCCCAGAAUUUGGCACCGAUUUGGUUCCCAUGUUGACCCCCUUGGAUGUUGAAUGAUUUCUCUCAUUUUUGGCAGAACAGGUACGACACUUUGAAUGAAGUGUUAGCGCAUCCUAAGUUUGCUGGUAAGGAGGGAAAAAAUGAAGAUGAGAAGGAAGAGUAGUAAUGAAGUUUUAACGCCUGAUCAAAUGGGUUAUUGAGGAACUUGCUAUAUCACAUAUUAGCAAAGUCUUUGACGAAGGACAAAUAAUUAUAUAUUAUGUUCUGCUGUACGCACGCAUAAUUAUUUCUGAUAAUUUUUGUAUGAACGCUAUGUUUCUGUGGGUUGUUCUGCUGUUUGAAUGAAUCUGAUCCUUUGUUGUUGUUGU